UACGGAGGGUGCAAGCGUUAUCCGGAUUUAUUGGGUUUAAAGGGUCCGUAGGCGGACCGAUAAGUCAGUGGUGAAAUCUCAUAGCUUAACUAUGAAACUGCCGUUGAUACUGUCGGUCUUGAGUAAAUUUGAAGUGGCUGGAAUAAGUAGUGUAGCGGUGAAAUGCAUAGAUAUUACUUAGAACACCAAUUGCGAAGGCAGGUCACUAAGAUUUAACUGACGCUGAGGGACGAAAGCGUGGGGAGCGAACAGG
rnacentral:rRNA from 2 species